rnacentral:rRNA from 1 species
UACGAAGGGGGCUAGCGUUGCUCGGAAUCACUGGGCGUAAAGAGCUCGUAGGCGGUGUGUCACGUCGGCCGUGAAAACCUGGGGCUUAACUCUGGGCGUGCGGUCGAUACGGGCAUCACUAGAGUUCGGCAGGGGAGACUGGAAUUCCUGGUGUAGCGGUGAAAUGCGCAGAUAUCAGGAGGAACACCGGUGGCGAAGGCGGGUCUCUGGGCCGAUACUGACGCUGAGGAGCGAAAGCAUGGGUAGCGAACGGG